UACAGAGGGUGCAAGCGUUAAUCGGAAUUAUUGGGCGUAAAGAGCUCGUAGGUGGUUCGGUAAGUCGGGUGUUAAACCCCCAGGCUCAACCUGGGGACGCCACUCGAUACUGCUGUGACUAGGGUCCGGUAGGGGAGCGUGGAAUUCCUGGUGUAGCGGUGAAAUGCGCAGAUAUCAGGAGGAACACCAGCGGCGAAGGCGGCGCUCUGGGCCGGUACUGACACUGAGGAGCGAAAGCGUGGGUAGCAAACAGG
rnacentral:rRNA from 1 species